rnacentral:pre_miRNA from 1 species
AUUAUACUCCCUCCGUUGCACAAUACAUGCCUUCUAUUUGUCAAAAUAUAUAUGUAUCUAGACAUGUCUUAGUAUAUAGGUACAUCCAUUUUUGGAUAAAUGGAAGUCAAGUAUUUUGGAAUGGAGGGAGUACACA